rnacentral:lncRNA from 10 species
AUCAUGGAAUCUUUUGCAAGUGUGCUCUCGCUGCCUCUGGACUGGAAUGUUAAGUGCAAGAGGAGUUGUCUGGCUUAAUAGUCCGAUCAAAAUAUGUCUGUGGAUGGACAAGGCUCCAUGUUAGGUGCUGGAGAUACAGUGAUGAACAAGAUAUUCAAGGUACCUGCCUACCUGGAGUUUACAGUCUAAUUGAGGGACACAGGAAGGAAGCUGUACUGACCAUUUAUCUUUCACUGCUGCUCAACAAUUUAAAAAAUUCCUGUCUGUGAGACUCUGUCUCAAAAAAUGAAUAAAUAAAAUUAAAAGAAAGAAUACAUGUAAAAUGCUUAGCACACAAUAAACACACAAGUAUUGGUUCCCUUUCCUUUCCUCUUGUUUUCUGGAGGAUUUUUACUUAUUGUGGAAAAGAAAGCAAUCCUUUCAGCAUUUCCUUUUGUGUGUGUGUGUGUGUGUGUGUGUGUGUGUGUGUGUGUGUGUGUGUUUUCUUUUCGUUUUUAGAGAGGUCUUGCUCUGUUGCCCAGACUGGAGUGCAGUGGCGUGAUCAUAGCUCACUGCAGCCUUGAAUUCCUGGGUUCAAACGAUCCUCCCCAGUAGCUGGGAAUACAGGUUUUUAAACGUUUCUGAUGCAGCAGGAC